rnacentral:rRNA from 1 species
AGAGUUUGAUCCUGGCUCAGAACGAACGCUGGCGGCGUGGAUAAGACAUGCAAGUCGAGCGAGAUUUUUUCUUGUAGCAAUACGAGGAAAAGUCUAGCGGCGAACGGGUGCUUAACACGUGGGCAACCUGCCAUGAAGUGGGGGAUAGCUCGUCGAAAGGCGAAUUAAUACCGCAUGUGAUUAGAGUGGACAUCCAUUCAAAAUUAAAGUCGGGGCAACCUGACGCUUCUUGUGGGGCCCGCGGCCUAUCAGCUAGUUGGUGAGGUAACGGCCCACCAAGGCUUUGACGGGUAGCUGGUCUGAGAGGACGACCAGCCACACUGGGACUGAGACACGGCCCAGACACCUACGGGUGGCAGCAGUCGAGAAUUUUUGACAAUGGGGGAAACCCUGAUCGAGCGACGCCGCGUGGAGGAUGAAGGUCUUCGGAUUGUAAACUCCUGUCAUUGGGGAACAAUGCACAGAUAUUAACUGUAUUUGUGUUGAUAGUACCCGAAGAGGAAGGGACGGCUAACUCUGUGCCAGCAGCCGCGGUAAUACAGAGGUCCCAAGCGUUGUUCGGAUUCAUUGGGCGUAAAGGGUGCGUAGGCGGCGCGGUAAGUCGGGUGUGAAAUCUCGGGGCUUAACUCCGAAACUGCAUUCGAUACUGCCGUGCUUGAGGACUGGAGAGGAGACUGGAAUUUACGGUGUAGCGGUGAAAUGCGUAGAUAUCGUAAGGAAGACCAGUGGCGAAGGCGGGUCUCUGGACAGUUCCUGACGCUGAGGCACGAAGGUCAGGGGAGCAAACGGGAUUAGAUACCCUAGUAGUCC